CGCGGUAAUUCCAGCUCCAAUAGCGUAUACUAAAGUGUUGCAGUUAAAAAGCUCGUAGUGUUAUUUCUGGCGGGGACGGCUGGUCGGUCUCGGAAGGGGCUGUACUGUUGUUGGUUCCCGUCAUCCUUGGGGAGAGCGGCUCUUACAUUAAGUUGUCGGCGUCGGGAUCCCUAUCUUUUACUGUGAAAAAAUUAGAGUGUUCAAAGCAGGCUUAGGCCCUGAAUACAUUAGCAUGGAAUAAUAAGAUACGACCUUGGUGGUCUAUUUUGUUGGUUUGCACGCCGAGGUAAUGAUUAAUAGGGAUAGUUGGGGGUAUUCGUAUUCAAUUGUCAGAGGUGAAAUUCUUGGAUUUAUGGAAGACGAACUACUGCGAAAGCAUUUACCAAGGAUGUUUUCAUUAAUCAAGAACGAAAGCUAGGGGAUCGAAGAUGAUUAGAUACCAUCGUAGUCUUAACCAUAAACUAUGCCGACUAGGGAUCGGUGGGUGCAUUUUUAGGCCUCAUCGGCACCUUAUGAGAAAUCAAAGUCUUUGGGUUGCGGGGGGAGUAUGGUCGCAAGGCUGAAACUUAAAGAAAUUGACGG
rnacentral:rRNA from 1 species